rnacentral:sRNA from 1 species
GUGUGAUGCUGCCAUUUCCCCCAAUUUGCUUGGUUAUGAGUGACGUGGGAUUUUUAAUCAUUAGCAUCUUGGCUUUGCUGGGUGUUUUUGGCAGGCUGACCCUCCAGCCAGCCCUGCACUGUGCUGUGUGCAUCAGGAAACCGGCUCAUUCUGCAGGUGUUUCAUCCAUAAACAAGCAUCAGCCACAGGCUCCUCUUUCGUUUGACGGAAACCCUUUGGAAUUUAACUUUCAGAUACAAAUACUUGGAACAGUUGGCAGCUGAGGAGCACGAGAAGGAGCUGAGAAGCCGGAGUGUGAGCCGGGGCAGAGCCGACCUCUCCUUGGACCUGACCUCGCCAGCAGCCCCAGCCUACCUGGCUCCUCUGAGCCAUAGCCCCUCGUCUUCAGACUCUCAAGAGGCUCUCACGGUGUCUGCCUCCUCCCCAGGAACCCCUCACCAUCCCCAAGCAAGUGCCGGGGAUCCUGAACCCGAAUCAGAGGCAGAACCGGAAGCAGAGGCAGGGGCGGGGCAGGUUGCUGAUGAAGCUGGCCAGGACAUAGCCUCUGCCCACGAGGGUGCAGAGACUGAAGUGGAGCGGGCACUAGAGCAAGAGCCGGAAGAAAGAGCCUCCCUCAGUGAAAAAGAGAGGCAGAACGAGGGGGUGAACGAGAGGGACAACUGCUCCGCCUCCAGCGUCUCGUCCUCCAGCAGCACGUUGGAGAGGGAGGAGAAGGAGGACAAGCUUUCCAGGGACAGGACAACUGGUUUGUGGCCCGCAGGUGUCCAGGAUGCAGGUGUAAAUGGACAGUGUGGCGACAUCCUCACCAACAAACGGUUCAUGCUUGACAUGCUGUAUGCCCAUAACAGGAAGUCUCCGGAUGAUGAGGAGAAGGGGGAUGGGGAG